rnacentral:tRNA from 1 species
AGAGAGAAGACAUUUUAAGCUUCUAACUUAAAGUACUGGAACAUAAACCACUUCUCUCCCUU